rnacentral:misc_RNA from 1 species
UAUCCGUAGGUGAACCUGCGGAAGGAUCAUUAAAGAGUAAGGGUCUUCUAGGCCCGACCUCCCAACCCUUUGUUUACCAAACCAUUGUUGCUUCGGCGGGCCCGUCCCUGGACCGCCGGAGGACCGUCAAACGUCCUCUGGCCCGCGCCCGUCGAUGGCCCCUAUCAUUAAACUCUGAACCAAACGUGUCCUGUCUGAGUGAUUAUUAUCAAAAAUUAAAGCAAAACUUUCAACAACGGAUCUCUUGGUUCUG